GAAAAGACCUGAAACCGACCAAGGCUACUUCUGAAGCAACUACCCUUAUUGGGCUCUUGCAAAAGAUCAGUUCCAAAUUUAAGAAAGCUUUUCGUGAAAUGUUGGAACGAAAGGCAUCCGCUCAUCCAUUUGAAAACAUUCAGUCAUUGUUGCCCCCAAAUUUGUGGCUUGGAUUGCACCCUGUUCCCGAUCAUAGACGUGAUGCAGCAAGAGC